AGCUUUGCGCAGUGGCAGUAUCGUAGCCAAUGAGGUUUAUCCGAAGCGCGAUUAUUGCUAAUUGAAAACUUUUUCUAAAUUUUAGAAUCUGAACUUUUUAACCACAACUCGGUG
rnacentral:snRNA from 1 species